GACGUAGGGGGCAAGCGUUGUUCGGAAUUAUUGGGCGUAAAGCGCUCGUAGGCGGGACUGGAAGUCCGUGUUGAAAGACCUCGGCUCAACUGAGGGACCGGCUCGGAUACUCUAGUUCUUGAGGCAAUCAGAGGGUGAUGGAAUUCCCGGUGUAGCGGUGAAAUGCGUUGAUAUCGGGAGGAACACCAGUGGCGAAGGCGAUCACCUGGGGUUGUUCUGACGCUGAGGAGCGAAAGCUAGGGGAGCAAACGGG
rnacentral:rRNA from 1 species